GUGGAGUUUGGAGAACUUGGAGCAAUGGUUUUUGCAAUGACUUAGAACACUGUGUGUCUAACUAUGGGAACGAGAAAUUAACCUUCGGGACCGGAACCAGACUUACCAUUAUGCCCAAUAUCAAGGACCCUGACCCCGCUGUGUACAAGCUGAGAAGCCCUACAUCCAGCAACACUUCCGUCUGCCUACUCACCGACUUUGAUUCUAACGUCAAUGUGUCACAAGACCCAAAGUUCACUGUGGUCAGCUCUAACAGCACGGCGCUGGACAUGAGGGCCAUGGAUUCCAAGAGCAACGGGGCUCUGCACUGGAGUGACAGCCCUGGUUUCAUGUGUGACGACACCUUCGGUAGUGAGACCUUCUACCCCAGCUCAGGAUUUCCCUGUGAUGCCACGUUGAUAGAGAAAAGCUUUGAAACAGAUAUGAACCUAAACUUCCAAAACCUGUCAGUGAUCGGGCUCCGCAUCCUACUCCUGAAAGUGGCCGGCUUCAACCUGCUCAUGACGCUGCGGCUGUGGUCCAGCUGAGGUCAGCAAGAAUGUGAGAGCCCAAUGCUCGCUCCUCACCGCCCUUCUCUCCCUCAAGCAGAGACGCGCCCUCAGCCUCCAUGAAGGAGAAGGCUCCCUCCACCUCUCGGGCCCCACUGACAAUGCCACCAACUGGAUCCGACCAGAUAUUUGCAAUCAAGAUGUUGAAGAGCUGCCAAAUGCUGCUACCACUCCUUCUGUGCCCCCACGGCUGCUUGUCACUGCCCCAUGUUCCCAGCAAAGGCAGAGGCCACUGCAGCUUCUCCUGGCUGUGGCCCCCUCCCCCUGCCAGAGACUGCUUCUGAUGCCCCACUGGGUGGCGGAUCACCAGGGGGUUCUCUCGGGUUCUAGCUCCUGGAGAAUGUUGUGAGCAGCUUAUAUUUUUUUAAAAUAGUGUUCAUAAAGAAAUACAUAUCACCCUUUUCCCCAAGAUGCGGGGGAAAUUAUCUCAUUAUCUAGGCCCUGCUGUGCUGUGUAUCUAAGCCACAUUGUAUAUUCUGCUGCCCUGGCUUCAUUAAAAGUGAUUUGGAAGAGCAAA